rnacentral:rRNA from 1 species
CUACGGGUUGCAGCAGUGGGGAAUAAUGCACAAUGGGCGAAAGCCUGAUGCAGCAACGCCGCGUGAGGGACGACGGCCUUCGGGUUGUAAACCUCUUUUAGCAGGGAAGAAGCGAAAGUGACGGUACCUGCAGAAAAAGCACCGGCUAACUACGUGCCAGCAGCCGCGGUAAUACGUAGGGUGCAAGCGUUGUCCGGAAUUAUUGGGCGUAAAGAGCUCGUAGGCGGUUUGUCGCGUCUGCUGUGAAAAUCCGAGGCUCAACCUCGGACCUGCAGUGGGUACGGGCAAACUAGAGGGCGGUAGGGGAGAUUGGAAUUCCUGGUGUAGCGGUGGAAUGCGCAGAUAUCAGGAGGAACACCAAUGGCGAAGGCAGAUCUCUGGGCCGUAACUGACGCUGAGGAGCGAAAGCGUGGGGAGCGAACAGGAUUAGAUACCCGUGUAGUC